UGCGCUGCCCCAUGCCAGCCAGAGCAGGCCUGCCAUAAAGGGGCUGACUGUUGUUGAUGGGAUUGGGGCAGCUCUGUGCUGGCUCCAAGAGUAGUUGGUGUAGCCGGAGUCACUAGCCCCGAGCACUCAAUACAGGAGGAAGUGGGAGGGUGUGGCUGGCACUGGCAGCUCCCCAUUCAAUGUUGGCUGCACCACUAGUGUAGGGGUGCCUGUCAGUAGAUCAUAUGACAGCCUUAUAUGGGACAGAUUAUGGCCAAUGGAGACAUUCAGCUUGGGGUCUGAGCCUGGAAGUGGCCAUUCUUCUAAACUAGAGGGCUGAGUUAAAAACUCCACACACAUAAAAAACUGAAAGAUACCAAACCUUCAAAAUAGUUGAAUAAAGGUGUACAAAAAGGAUGGAGGUUAGCCGUGGAUGUGCCUUCAGAUAAACCUGCUAAGCUGAUAAGACUGGUAGCCUAUGCAAAACAAUCUGAAGCAUAAGGUAGCAAAGAAGAAGGGAAAUGAAGUACCGGUACAUUAAGUCCUUCCCCCUCCCCCCUCCGCGCCAUCAUCGCCAUCGAGGUCAUCUGACUCCUACUAUUGGCGGACGCUAUCCCGCCUCCUUUCGUGUCAUUUGACGCAGGGUGUGUGGCGUAUCUGAGAGUGGUGGGAGGGCAUUGCCUUGGCACCUGUCUGUACGGCAUCACUGAUUGAGCGACUCUGGCUAUGAGGGGUGGGGAGGUCUGACAUCACCUCCAGCACCUGAUUGGUUUGGUGUGUCUGAGAGUGGUGGGCGGGCGUUCCCUCGGCGCCCGUCAGUAUGGCGUUGCUGAUUAAACGGCUGUGGCUAUGGGGGCGAGGAGGGCUGACAUCACCUCCAGCACCUGAACUGUAAAUUGUAAGUACCGUAAGCGACAGUAAGCGAACGCAGCAGCGGGCGACAGUGCAUGGGACACCACGGGCAAACAAAUAUCCUUUUACAACAGCCUUGCUGGACAGCAUUCAGACUAUAAGAUGCACCCUCAUUUCCCCCCCACUUUUUUGGGGGGGGAAGUGCGUCUUAUGGUCCGAAAAAUACGGUAAAUCCCUUCCCUAUGGAUUUGCAUUACAUGUAUAUCAGUACUGACGAGGAAACGGACCAAGUUACCUCUUUACUAAAGUUUGCAAAACUACUUGAAAUCCUAGUUUCAAAUCCUGGUUCAGAGGGGAACCCUGGUUAAUGUUAACCAUGGUUAGCACUGACAUUAGUCUAAUGCUCAAAAGAAGGCAAUUCUGAAGUAAAUAAGAGAUUGGUAAAGAGGAUUUGAUCCUGAGAGAGACUGUGCGGCGAGUCUCACAAUUGGUGAGACUCGCUGUUACGGGGUUAGUGGGGAGAGUGGGCUGAGCCCGCUCUCCCUGCAGACAAGCAGAAGGCACCCCCCGGCAGCCGGAUCAGCUGCCCACAUAACUGCCAGCUCCGUCACAGAGCCAGCAGGGGUUGCGGGGAUCGGGGGCCACGUGGCCCCCGGAGGUUCCAGGAUGCAUGCUGGAGAGACCCCCAAGCCCGAGAGGCUGCUUGCAGCCUCCCGGCCGGGGGUCUCCUCAUGUGUUGUCUCGGCGCGGAGCUGCAGCGAGGUAAUACAGGACCAAAAAACCCAGGUUAGCGGAGCCCUCACUCCACUAACCUGGGCUAAGGGGGGGGUGACCCGCUUUGUGGAAACCGGGCUCGUCUGCGAGCCCGGUGGUUCCCACAGACCAUGGAAAGUGGGCUAAGCUCCCUUGGCCCGCUUUCCCCGGAUCGUGAGAAUACCCUCAAAGGGUUUAUGUAUUUCCAAGACUAUCUCCUGAUUUGCAAAUUAUAGCUUUUAGGGAGUACUUUAAAAAGAUAUCAGAACAAAUAAUGUAGGAAUUAUGCUUUCCUUUUUUCUAAGUUUGUGCUGACAGAGAGUUCAAUCAUCACAUUUUUCCCGGGUGGUGGUUUAAAUAGUUGUUCUCAUAGUUUCUUUUCAUUUGGAGUUUGCAUUGUUUAAUAUGCAUUUGUUUGGUUUGGUGCAUAAAUUUAUUUUAACCAUUAGCACAUGAAUAUAUUUCCCCAAAAGUCUGGUUUAUGUAUGUUUAGGUAUGAUCUUUUGCUCACUUGCUUUAUUUUAAAUAAUGGGUUUGUAUUGAUUGUGGUUGUUAUACGUAUAUUCCUUGAUUUACUGAGUAAUUUUAUACUGAGCAUUUAUAUGCAUUGAUUGUAGUACCCAUGAAGAAGUCAUAUGCUGGAAUGUGUUUUGGAAUCCUCUCCCCCCACCCCCACCCCAUCUCACUUUUUGCACAUCUUCCUGAAGCUGUACUUACUCCUUCUUUUGGAACCACCAUUAAAUCUGUGUCAGACUAGGCAUAACUUUGUGGCAGUUGUGUGUCAUUUUAUGGCUGCAUGUCCUGUUUCUGUGACAUCUAUCCUUUUAGCACCACCUGUGCUUCAUCUUGUCACAACUGCAUC